ensembl:snRNA U6 U6 spliceosomal RNA
AUGCUUGCUUCGGCAGCACAUACACUAAACUUGGAAUGAUACAGAGAAUAUUAACAUGAUCCUGCACAAAGAUGACACACAAAUUUGUGAGGCAUUCCAUAUUUUU